rnacentral:tRNA from 1 species
GGCCUGAUGGUCUAGUGGUAUGAUUGUCGCUUCGGGUGUGACAGGCCCCGGGUUCGAAUCCCGGUCAGGCCC